rnacentral:rRNA from 1 species
AUACGGAGGAUCCGAGCGUUAUCCGGAUUUAUUGGGUUUAAAGGGUGCGUAGGCGGCCUUUUAAGUCAGCGGUGAAAGUCUGUGGCUCAACCAUAGAAUUGCCGUUGAAACUGGGAGGCUUGAGUAUGUUUGAGGCAGGCGGAAUGCGUGGUGUAGCGGUGAAAUGCUUAGAUAUCACGCAGAACCCCGCUUGCGAAGGCAGCCUGCCAAGCCAUGACUGACGCUGAUGCACGAAAGCGUGGGGAUCAAACAGGAUUAGAUACCCUGGUAGUCCACGCAGUAAACGAUGAUCACUAGCUGUUUGCGAUACACUGUAAGCGGCACAGCGAAAGCGUUAAGUGAUCCACCUGGGGAGUACGCCGGCAACGGUGAAACUCAAAGGAAUGGACGGGG